AGGCAUACCAAUACGGAGUAUCUCGUUGCCAUUGGCAGUCGACAAGGAUCGCCAUCCAAGCCAAUUGACAACUUUCCAAACCCAACGCGCUGAACGGGCCAUCUUCUUCGUCAUUUUUGGCAGGUUUGCAGAAAUCAGGAGAGCGACGCGCAAGGCGUCGCUCGAGCGGAAGUGAACCUCGCAAUCGCAUAGCAACGGCAGUCAGGAUUCUUCGGGUAAGUCGCCUCCACCCCUUCGAGCGGAAAAUCGAGACAGGAAAGGGCCUGAAAGUGUCUAAAUCCUCGUCGGGAGAAUAUAAAGAUUGUUCAUUUCCCCGGUUUCUGUAAAGUAGGACUGGGAUUCCCUUCACUUCCGGGUGACACAGCUAGGAAAGCAGCAUGAUUUCAGUGGGAAAUAGCCCGGCUUGCCCAUGUCGCAGUAGCCUUCAUCCUCAACCUCUAGUCGCGAUGCCACCAUGCAGCAGAAGACCAAAAAAAUAAAAUAAAAUAAAAUAAAAUAAAAUAAAAUAAAAUUAGAAAAAAAAAAUUACAGGAG
rnacentral:sRNA from 1 species